rnacentral:lncRNA from 1 species
AUCAUGCUGAUUGCAGCCUCAACCUCCUGGGCCCAAGCAAUCCUCCUGCCUCAGUCUCCUGAGAGGCUGAGGCAGGAGAAUCACUUGAACCCGGGAGGCAGAGUUUGCAGUGAGCAGAGAUCUUGCCACUGUACUACAGCCUGGGCGACAGAGUGAGACUCUGUCUCAAGAAGAAAAAAAAAAAGAAAAGAGUCUGCCACCUAAAGGCAUUUAAUUAGCAUUUGUGAAAGAAAUAGUAGUCCAGUUGGUAAUUUCCCCACUGCUUGCAAGACCUCACAAAAGGCCUUGUAAUAAAAACAAUUAAAUCUCAUGUGACCCAGGUGUGUCAGGAAUGCCUUCCUAUUCUGCUAUGUGGAUGAGUUUUGCUAGUUUUCAAGGUUUAGUCAAGGCAAAGGAGAUAGCUUGUCUCCUACGAUUAGCGAGUCAUCUGCUAGCCUGUGGAGGGACAAACAGGUACGAUACUCCUUCGUCACUCAUCACAAUGGUCAUGGCAGACACUUCUAUAACAAAAGACAAGUUAGCAAGAGAAAAGCAUGACAAAUUUAUUUAACAAAGUUUUAAAUGACAUGGGAGACUUCAGAAAUGAAGAACCAAAGAC